UACGUAGGGUCCAAGCGUUAUCCGGAAUUAUUGGGCGUAAAGAGCGCGUAGGUGGUUUGGUAAGUUCUACCUUAAAUAUCGAGGCCCAACCUCGAACUUGGGUAGAAAACUGCCUUACUUGAGUAUUGCAGGGGCGAGUGGAAUAUACGGUGUAGGAGUAAAAUCCAUUGAUAUCGUAUAGAACACCAAUGGCGAAGGCAGCUCGCUAGGCAAUUACUGACACUGAGGCGCGAAAGCGUGGGUAGCGAAC
rnacentral:rRNA from 1 species